UUCCUACCCAGAGAUCCUGCUUUCUGGAGGGUUUGGCAAGCUCUGAUCCUUGGGAAAGGCCCAUUCCCCUGGUGGAAAGGCAAAAAUCACCAGUGCUUUAGUAGGAGAAAGAUAGAGCUGCUGGCCUUCAUGCAAAUAUCCUGAUUCAAAUAGAAAAAGGGAAUUCAAAGAGAAGUUCAGAAAGGAUCUGCUCUGUCAGCAGUGUUGGCUCAAGCAACCAUAUUUUUCAAGGCUCCUCAUGAAUGUGGUAUAUUAACAUACAGUUAACAUACCGACAAGUUUGUUGGAUGUAUAUGCAGUGUCCCUUCCUAUUGCACAUUGAUUUAUGUCUAAUAAACAUGACGUGCACUGAUAAAAGGUGGCAGAACCUGAAAGGAUCCUGGCUUAUCAACUGCAAACGUCUGGAGGAAUCAGAAGCUGAAUCAAAGAAUUAAAAUAUUUACAUUUUUAAAUGGGCCUGUCACAUGCAUUAAAUCACAGGCUGCAUCAGUCCCACUGCUGUUGCUAUGUUGCUCAUCACGUGUCCCAUUCGUAGGCAUUGUCAACUGGGAAAAAGAGAAGGAAGGCAAGUAGGAAGGCUGGUGCAAUGAAUUGCUGUGUGUGCUCAGGGGGUGGCAAUAGCUGAAGCUUGGCGCAUUUUGCUCCCUUUGCAGAAGUACAGUAUUCAUGGAUGUGGAUGUCAUGCAAGAUGGGCCACCUGAAUCCCAGCUAUUCUCACCUUUACAGCACUGCUGUGUCAAUACAAGCAGUCUGUGUGCCAGCAUCUCUCAAUGCGCAGUGGUCAGAGGCAUACCAGAAUGGUACUGCAGUGCACUGGUAUGGUGCUCCCUGUUAAUCCACCUAGCAAGCACCUGAAAAGACUUAACUACAUGUACCACGCAGGCACCCUGCUGAGACAGUGGGAAUAGGCACAGACCUGUAAUUACCAAGUAAAGACAAUGAAAUCACACGUACUCCCACCACCUGCAGCUCUAAAUGAGGAAAAGUGUUAGUUACACUGUUGUACUUCUAUGGAGUCUCAGGAGAAAAAACAGAGGGCGUAAUGAGCUACUAGACGUGUGAUAAGCUUAUAAGAGGCAGAAUUAAAGUGCAUUCACAAUUUACCCCAAUCUAGUGCUCUGCAAGGAGGGGCUCAGAGGGAAGCGCAAUUAAAUUUUUGCGCCUUCCCUUUAAUUUGGGGAAAUGAAGAGCAUGCCUGAAAGAACAAUUCUGCGUUGUUUCACGGACCUCAGCCCUUUGCCACCCCCAAAUGGAGAGGUACGACAUGAUGAGAGCAAAGCUGCAUGCUGCUUGCACUGGGAACUAUUGCCAUGAUGUUGGAGGGGGCCCGAGUCUGGGUGGCUUGGGCUGAUUUCUGCUUGCUGUUUCCCUUAAGUGUAAAGGCAGAGCUCACAGGAUGGAUAGGACAGCUGCUGUUUGAAGGAGAUCUAUGGAGAAUUUAACUUUAUUCUUACGUGGACUUAGGAAAUCUUAAGAAUAUGAAAACAAUGUUAAAACACGUUCCCAGAAGUUCCUCUGUAAAAAGUUUUCCUAGUCGGAUAGCUGUUUCUUUUCCCCAUGUUUUUUAAUACUCUGUUUUCACUACUUGUACAGGAGUAUUCAUUCUGAAUGCUACCUGUUUGAUUGUUAUUACUUUGGUGUUAUGUGGCUGGGAGGUGAAAGUGUUUGGUCAGCUCUUUUAGGGGGAAGUUUUUUCUUAAGAGGAUGUGGUCAUGG
ensembl:lncRNA